GAAGUGUCCCUAGAGGGGACAAAAAUCCAUCCCAGGACACAAAGCAUAUCUAAGGCCAGAAUGCCACCCAAUUCUAACAUUCCUGCAAGUUUCUGUGGUUUAUUUUGCCAUUAAUACACAUUUGAAAUCUGAAUUUUCCUCUAUUAUCUUGCCCAUAUUAUCUUGUCCGUUAUUUUCCAUGUUAUCUUGUCCUGUUCCUGUCGCAGCUCUGAGCAGUUCCCUGGGCUGGGGAAGGUCAGAAAUCAAGUGUUUGUUCACAGAAAUCCUCCUGGGAAGGGGCAGGUCUCCCAUUCCACUCUUGUCAUUAAUAUAAAGCUACAGAACUUGUGUGAGCUGGAAACUAAACCUGCUUGGAAGGGGGAAAUGCAGCUACAGAUGGUUUUUAAAAGGAUCUUGCCAAAUUCUGGGAUGAGACAAGCACGAGAAGACCUUCCUGGAGGGAACUGCUCAGGCCUCAGGAGCAACCACUGGGACAAAUUAAAUCCCUUAUGGUGGCUCAGACUUUAUUCACUCCUCUAUCCUUUGGCAGAUCCAGAAUAUGCACAAAUUAAAAGAGAUUUUCUCUAGAUUUACACCAAUCUGAAGCAGGAAUUGAUCUGCUGUCUGUAUGAACCUGUUGUUCAGUGGAAUAUCCUUAAAAAUGGGAGUCACAGUCAUUUCCUCUGCUGAUUUUGGGCUUCUGGGGGUGCUGGAUAAAAUAUAUUUUUUUUUUCACCCAAAAAGAUCCAAAAAUAUUCAAGAUUAAUUUGGAUAAAAUAAUUAAAAAAAUAAACAAAGCAGCUUGUUUUAUCCAGGGAGAGUCCUUGUUCUUUCCCCAAACCUCUCUGUGGUAACUGAGUCCAAAGAGUGAUGGUGUGGCUGUUGAUAGGGAUCAGUCUCUCCAUCAAGCAGAAUAAUCAUGUAAUCAAAUGAAAAGAGAAAAAAAAAAUAGCCCCUAAAUGUUUCUCAUGCAUGAGGCACCUUGAGCCUGUCAGGAGGAAUAAUUGCCAAACGAUGCAGCAGCACCCGACUCGCUGAGCUCUGUGUCAGCUCCAACUGGGAGGGAAAUAAUACACUGAAUUUAAGGGUCGAGGCUCCUUGAAUUCCAACGUUGUUUUAAUGAAAUACUUCACCUGUCACAAGUGCCAAAACGUGUCAUUAUUGUACAGUCACGUCAAGGGAGGGCUGAGCAUCCUUUACCCAACCUGUUUCUGCAUCCCAAACUACCCGGAGCAACCCUCUAUCAGGGGGAAUCUGAUCUUCCCAAAGGAAAAACAACAUUACUCCAAAUAGCUGGAAAAGAGGAACCUCAAAGGGAAGGAAGAAAGUUUUCUGAAGUGCCCAGUUCUUCCCCCAAAUUUAUGGGCUGGUUUUAAAUCUCACUUUUGUGCUGUUGUAGGAUUUCAGUCCCCAAAUUUGAAAACUCCUGAGGGGUGGACACGUUGAAAACAUUAAUCCACCUACAGGAAUAUGAUCCUAUAAAUUUCAGCCUCCCAGGACAGGAUCCUCAGACAGCAUCAGCUGGGAGGCAAGAGGAACAAGUUUUCCACCUGAGCAGAGAUGUGGGGUGGAUCAACAUCUCCUUGGCUUUGCCUGGUGAGGAUUUUGAGUCUUGUUGGAGGCAUCAACUCCCCCUUUACAAACUAGCUGAAAGGAGAACAUACACUAUUAGUAACUGAUCCAUAAACAUCCCCUGCAGAUGACAACUGUACAUUGAAAAUUUUCAUUUUGGAGAGUGAAAAACAAAUCCAGUCGUGCUGAGGGCUCCAGAAAAGUCAUGACCCUUGUUCACAUUGAGCUGGUGGUGGCAGCAGCAUGAGAGAUGUGCUGUGGGUGAUGGUUCUCCCAGUGACUCACUCCUGGCCUCGAGCAAAGCACUUAAUGUGUCCAGGGCUCACCUCAAAAAAGGGCCAGUGUUGCUUUUCUCAGGGUAAUUCUCCUGAAUUAACGUCUGAGAGAUGCUUCCAGUUCCUAAAAUAAAAGAUGCCUCCAAGAAUUCAGCAUUUGCCAGGGAAAAUCAGAAUUCCUACAGCUGAUGCAAACGGAGUUUGAGAUUCUGCAGUCUCCUUCUGUUCCACGCAGAGAAACCCUGAGUUUCUUAAAAAAUGGAAGAGGGAAUUGAUUAUAUUUUUUUGGAAUUAAUGCUGCAGUCAAAGGAGGAUGACAGUGAAUUUGUUAUAUUAGAGACACAUUAUACCUCUGAUAUUCACUGCAGCACCACCUUUGGGAGCCUGGGAUAAAUGAGGACUUUUUAGUGGCAAAUCUUUGUGUGUUGUGAAGGUUCCUGGUCACAGAGGUGCUGCUUUUCCAGGGAUUUCCUUUCAGUGAGCACAGCUGACCAAAGUACCUCUCCAAAUGCAGCCCCUGAGACUUCUCAUCCCCUCUGGAGGUGACUCCAGUGAAGAUCUCCCAGCGUUUCAUGGGAAUUCUGGUGCAGGGAGAGGCAGGGAACUGGCACUGGGGUGACAGGAGGGGUGGUGGGAGGGGGGGAUGCUGACAAGUGCCAAGGAGAGGCUUUGCUGUGCAGAGCCAUCAAUCCUCCUGCUCCUGCUUGAUUGCCUUUGGCAGAAUACAAGGCUGGGAAGACUUCAGAUAAAUCAAGGAGCUGGUUGUCUCCUGGCUCUGCUUCCACAGGGAUAUGGAAUGGGUGAAGCUCCUGCCUCUGCUGUCCCCUAAGGUGGCCAAGCAGUGGCUUCCCAAAUCAGUGAGGUGCAGUUUGUACCAGUGCCCAACCGACCCCUAGAACCUGCAUUUCCACUUUCUGCUUUUUGAUUGUUUCUGAUUUAUUUUCCUGGGGUUUUGUGUUCGUUUUGAUCUGUGUACCCUCUGGGGAAGGUGAGGAGCAAUCGUGGUACAAACAGCUUUCCAUGAGGGAGUGAGGUUGCUGCAGUUUUGCAAGUUUUAUUGUCUCAACUAGAUUCUGAAAGCACCAGAAGCAGCUCCCCUCUCAGCUUUCCUCCCUAAAAAAAUAAGAGGGAAAAAAACAGGAUCAUUUUUUCUCUGACCAACCUCCAGUAUCUCUUAAAGAACUGAAUUGUUAAAAACUAUUAAAAGCAGAGCAAAAGGAGAAAAAUAAACCCCUGGUGUUGCUAAGUGAGUGGAAAACAGAUCUAUAGAAUCUACAAUGGUUUGAGUUGGAAGGGACCUUCAAGACCAUCUCAUUCCAUCCCCUGCCAUGGGCAGGGACACC